rnacentral:RNase_P_RNA from 1 species
CCAUUUUUACUUUGUCAUACGCGUUAGGGGGUAAGGGUGAGAAGGUGGUGUAAGAGACCACCAGGCAUUUGGUGACAAGUGUGCUGUGUCUGCUGGGAGCUGCAAGUUCAAGUAUACCAUCGUCAUGUUAGGGUUGCCCGCCCGAAAGUUCAGCUUACGAUGGAGGGUAGAAUGCUUAAGCCGUAUGGUGACAUACGGAUUAGAUAAAUGACAGGCACCACCUUUGAGUGGAACAGAACCCGGCUUAUAGGGGCACUGCUUUU